CGUGUAGGCGGCCUGCUAAGUCAGACGUGAAAUCCCUGGGCUUAACCUAGGGACUGCGUUUGAUACUGGUGGGCUUGAGGACGGGAGAGGAAAGUGGAACUCCGUGUGUAGCGGUGAAAUGCGUAGAUAUACGGAAGAACACCAGUGGCGAAGGCGACUUUCUGGACCGUCCCUGACGCUGAGGCGCGAAAGCCAGGGGAGGCAAACG
rnacentral:rRNA from 1 species